UGGGGAAUUUUGGACAAUGGGCGAAAGCCUGAUCCAGCAAUGCCGCGUGUGUGAAGAAGGCCUUCGGGUUGUAAAGCACUUUUGUCCGGAAAGAAAUCCUUGGCUCUAAUACAGUCGGGGGAUGACGGUACCGGAAGAAUAAGCACCGGCUAACUACGUGCCAGCAGCCGCGGUAAUACGUAGGGUGCAAGCGUUAAUCGGAAUUACUGGGCGUAAAGCGUGCGCAGGCGGUUUGCUAAGACCGAUGUGAAAUCCCCGGGCUCAACCUGGGAACUGCAUUGGUGACUGGCAGGCUAGAGUAUGGCAGAGGGGGGUAGAAUUCCACGUGUAGCAGUGAAAUGCGUAGAGAUGUGGAGGAAUACCGAUGGCGAAGGCAGCCCCCUGGGCCAAUACUGACGCUCAUGACGAAAGCGUGGGGAGCAAACAGGAUUNGAUACCCCUGGUAGUCCACCCCUAAAACGAUGUCAACUAGUUGUUGGGGAUUCAUUUCCUUAGUAACGUAGCUAACGCGUGAAGUUGACCGCCUGGGGAGUACGGUCGCAAGAUUAAAACUCAAAGGAAUU
rnacentral:rRNA from 1 species